GAAGGUAUAGCUCAAUGACAGUGCAUGCUUGGCAUGCAUGAGGUCCUGGGUUCAAUUCCCUGGUACUUCCA
rnacentral:tRNA from 1 species